UCACAUACGCAGAAAGUUAUGAGGAUGUGAAAGAAGAAAUUAAAAAUGAAGUUGAAAAAGAAAUAUUUGAAGAUCUUGAAGAGGAAAGUGACGCAUUAGAUAGUAGCGUUAGAGAGUUGAAUGAUGCAAAGCCAUGGAGAUUUCGUAGAGCUAUUCAAAGAGUACGAUGGAGAAAAGUUGCUCCUUACAUACCAUUUGUUGUUAAGACGGUUGGUAAAAAGUAACGAAAACAACUAAAAUAAAUCUUUUUGUAAUAUGAGCUUCAAAAUAAUUCGUUUAGAAUCA
rnacentral:lncRNA from 1 species